AAAUAUUUAUAGUUGGGUUUAAGAAGUACAAUAUUAAAACAAGAGCCAUGAGUCUUAAGCCCAGUGUGUAAGGACACACACUGAGUUAUAACUCAGUGGCACAGCU